rnacentral:lncRNA from 1 species
AGCGAAGCCGCAAUCAACUUGAGCGAUCGAAAAAUUGUUAAAAUAACUACGAAAAUUGAUUAUAUAUACAAAAAAAAAGAAGAAACUGAAGCGUGGCACUGAUCUGGAAUGGAAUGGAAUAUGUAAGAAGGAUUCCAAAUCCACACCUUGCGGGAGCCUCUAUUUAUUUCUUGUUUGUGUUGUUUUUUUAGUGCAAGUGGAUCAGCUGGCAUCAUAGCUGGCCACAUAUGCGCCUGCUACAGGACGGCGAGGGAGUACCCUGGAAAUCGAGGGAGUAAUUGGGAGUGGUCAAUCCACACUCCGGUAACAUUAUUCUAAGUCAGUCAGCUCCUGGCCUUUGGCCUGUUGUUACUUUGGCUCCGCCCUUUCCCUUUCGCUAGAAGUCAGCACGUUUUGACACGUGUUGGGUGCGAUAAUUAAUAUUUAUGAACCUGUGGCGGUUCAAGUGUCAUUAGUUAGUGAGCAGCACCAAGGGGAUUAAGUAAACCACAAACAAACGAACAAAGAAACAACAAACAACCCGCAAAUGAUGCCUUGCGGUUGCUUCCACUGAUCGUUGCCAAUGCCCGCGCGGGAGUGGGUCAGUCGCAGGUAGAGAGUUCGUCAAUAUUAGGUCCGUGUCCGUGUCCGUGGCUACCUGCAUCGCGGGGAGUUUGUUGUUUUUUUUGUUCGCUGUGCGAAAAGCCUAGCUAUGAAGACAGUGCCAAGCAUAAAUUCGUGUACGGCAGACUCAGCUGAACUAAAGCUAGAAGCAUAAAAUAAAUCUUUAUUGUG